UGAGGAAUAUUGGUCAAUGGGCGCGAGCCUGAACCAGCCAAGUAGCGUGAAGGAUGAAGGCUCUAUGGGUCGUAAACUUCUUUUAUAGGGGAAUAAAGUGAGCCACGUGUGGCUUUUUGUAUGUACCCUAUGAAUAAGGAUCGGCUAACUCCGUGCCAGCAGCCGCGGUAAUACGGAGGAUCCGAGCGUUAUCCGGAUUUAUUGGGUUUAAAGGGAGCGUAGGUGGAAAUCUAAGUCAGUUGUGAAAGUUUGCGGCUCAACCGUAAAAUUGCAGUUGAUACUGGGUUUCUUGAGUACAGUAGAGGUGGGCGGAAUUCGUGGUGUAGCGGUGAAAUGCUUAGAUAUCACGAAGAACUCCAAUUGCGAAGGCAGCUCACUAGACUGGUCACUGACACUGAGGCUCGAAAGUGUGGGUAUCAAACA
rnacentral:rRNA from 1 species